rnacentral:lncRNA from 1 species
CACACAAUCAACAAAUUAUUAUUAAAACCAAAGGGUGGUGUAGGACAUAAGUCUUUGGAGUUUUAGUCCAAUCUUUACUCACUGCUCAUUGAAUUGUGCAAAUUAUCAGCAAUGUUAUUAAUAUGAGUAAAGCUGUACUGAAAAGAUGAAAAGGGUCUUUUCCAUUAAACAAUUAAAAUUUUGGCUAUUCCUGUUUAAAAAGGGAAUUAUUCAUUCUUACCUUUUUUUUUUCUUUUUAAACUUUAAUUCCCCACCCCCCCGAGAUUCAAAUAUGUACUCAAAUAACUAUAUGUAUUUAGUAGGCACUGUGAUUCAAGUAUAGGAAGUUAACAUCUUUGCCUUCAUGGAAACUGCGGUUAUAGUGGGGUGAUGGACAAUUUGCCUUUCAAUGACCAUGUGAUUUCUGUGAUAAUAGAACUGUGGGGGUUGUUAUUAAAGGCUCUAACGCUACCCAGAGAUGCUGACAACUAACCCAAGUCUGACAGGGCUCAGAAGUGUAAGUGUGUGUGUGUGUGUGUGUGUGUGUGUAGGGAAACGGUACAUACAUAACAAAGUAUGUAAUGUACAACAGGUUGACUAUAGUUAAUAACACUAUUGCAUAUUUGAGAGUUGCUAAGAUAGUAUAUCUUAAAAGUCCUCAUCUCUCUCUCUCUCUCUCUCUCUCUCUUUCACACAUACACACCCACACACACAAAAUAAAUGAAAAAAAAUUCUCUAACUAUGUAUGGUGAUGGAUGUCAAUUGGACUUAUUGUGGUAAUAAUUUCGCAAUGUAUACAAUGUAGAAUCAUUAUUCAAUAUUUACCUUAAAUAUUGAAAUGAAUAUGCCUGAAAUGAGUAUAAUGUUAUGUGUCAAUCUUGCCUUAAUAAGAAACAGAGACACAGAGAGAGACACAGAGAGAUUCCCAUCCAACUCCAGAAGUUCAAGGAAGAUUUCUAAGAGUAAUGACUAUAAGCUGACACUAGAAAGAUGAAGCAGAACAAGGGGACAAUGAGGAGAGCAGCAUGUUCAUGGAACUAAUCUUUAAGUAGCAAGAGUGUGAACUGACUAGCAGGCUAGCAAUAUUGAAGCAGAGUUGGGCUGCUGGUCUAUACAGAACAGAAGACAACAGGAGUUUCUCUUUGGUAAGCCAAUUAAGCCAGUCACAAGUUUUUAAAAAAAUAUUUGUUGCAGAUUUGGAUUGCAGGCCAAUAGUAGCCUGAGCAAAGGAAUAGGAUCUUUUUAGAUAUAAGCAUCAAGAAAUUGAAGAAUAGCAAAUGUAAUUAAGCUUUUCAGUUAGAGGACAACUGUAAAUGAAAGAAUAUUCUUUAUAGUUUAGAAACAAUGGUGAUUACAUGACUCUUUUUUCAAAAACAAUCCUAUACACAAAUGGAAAUUAUAGUUGUAUCAUCUUCAAAUAUAACUUCUGUAACAAAAUUGUUGAAUUUAUAGAACACCUUAUGUCUAUACUCUAGAAUACACUGCAUAGUGGAGAGGGGCUGAUCCUACUUUUGCUCAUCUGCCUGAAACCUGGUCUUGAACAAGCAUUGCAGUAUAUCUUUUGUCCAUCCCACUAACACUCACUUUAUUUCACUGAAUCAAAGCAAUUCAAAAAUAUUCAUCACUCUUGUCUAUUCUCGGUGAUUUUGUGAAAAUAAGGCUGAAAGGGAAUGGUGAAUUACAUAUGAAGUUAAGUGAAAUGAUUAAGUAAGUGCACAUAUCAUUGCUUUAGAGAACAAAAAUAAAUACCCAGUUUUAUAAUCUUUAAUUUUGGGGGGAACAAACACUUCUGUAUGAGUCCACUCCACUGCUUUUUCUUCUCAUUUUCAAAGGGAUGGGUCUCCUUAUUUAUUCCUUAUUAACAUAUCAUUUUGGAAUGUGGCAUCAUUGCAUGACUCUCUUGAAGUCUGUUUAUAUUUAAAAGUAGCAUCCUAUUUUUGAGCUGUUAUUUUACCACAAUAUAUUUAAAAAAUUUUAUUUUCAGUUCUAAAAAUUUGAGAUUGUUGCAAAAAUGCAAAAUCUGCCCCUGGGGCAGAUUUGUGGCCAUCUGCAUAGAAGUUAUAACGGAAGCCUCAGUUAUGGAUGAGGCGGCCUCAUGAGGGAAUACAUUUUGAGUGAAGUUUAAGGUAUAGUAGCCCCCAGGGAUUCCUAAAAUGAGUGGCCCAAGAGACGGGUGGAAGCAUAAAGGUGUCUAAGGAGGACUAGCUAGAGAUUGGAGGAAAGCAGGACGAUGUCACAUCAUCUGUGCAAAAAGAAGACUGUUCUAAAAAGAAAGGAGCAUCCAACGGUGUGAACUACUGAUAAGAAAUCAAGCAAAUGAAGUGUUGCCAGUUUCCAAACAUGGCCAUGGAGAUGAGGAACCAAUAUCAAGAAGAUCAAAGAAAAUAUCCUAAAGAUUUUAAAACCACUUUAGUCAUAAGAAUGACGAAUAUUAACAUGGAACACUGUCAAAGAAUUUACACAGGCAAUAUAAUGGAGAAUGUGAAAGAACUCUCUAUCCAAUAUUUAACUUCUUUCCCCCAAGCAGUUUGUUUGUAGGUGAAGGGAGAGAUAGAGGACGGUAAUUGAGAUAGUGGGCUCCAAGAGAGAAAUUUGUUUAAACAUGUUUUAAGGAUGAUGGAAAGAUUCCAGGGAGAAGUUUGCAAAACAAAAGUAGAGAAAUAGUUGGUGGUAUAAUGGCCCUGAGAAGGAAUGUGGGGGUGGUUCCACAGCACCUACAGAAAGUCAUUUAUGGUACUGUGACCUGUUCCUCUCUUACAGCAGCAAGGAAGGAGAAAAAGAAUGAAAAGGAUGUUGGUAUUUUGGUGGUAUUGAAGGGACCCUCUGUGAUAAAUUUUCUUUUUUUUAAUAAAUAAAGAACCAAAUUACUUGUAGAGACUAAUGACAGUUGUUGACUAUAGGUUAAUGGUUGAACCAAUCUAUUUAUUUUGUAAUUAUACCCAACAAUCUGCAGCUGCUUGGGAGUGGAGAUGGCUAGAGUAGAUUUUUGAUUCCAUUCAGAGCUGUCUUUUUUUUUUUUUUUUUUUUUUUUAGGGAAGGAGAAGAAGAAAGAGAGGGAGACAAUCAUAAGCAGACUCUACCCCCAGCACAGAGCCUGCUACAGGGCUUGAUCUUACAACCUUGAGAUCAUGAUCUGAGCCAAAAUCAAAAGUUGGACACUGAACCAACUGAGCCACCCAGGAGCCCCCAGAGCUGUCAUUUUUGACCAGGUAAGUUUUAUGAAAAAAUAUAGGGAAUUCAGGUCAUUUAAAACAAUAGCCAGAGUGUUCUUGAAAUGGUGGUGCUCUUAGGAUUCUAAUCCACAUGUGGUUAGAGUUGAAGAGAAGGUUUGUCUCCUGCGAAUUAUGCUGAAACAAUGGAGUCAGUGACUAGGCAUCUCCGUAAAGGUGAGUGUAGCUCCAGGUGCAGCAUUGCAGAAACAAUCUAGAAGGAGUGAGAUUCUAGAUUCUUAAGUAGGUGAAAUUUAUAGGUUCAGCAAUUUUGGGUUCAGAUGCAGCUGUGAGUUCAUUGUGGAGACAUGAAUACUGAGAAACGAAUUAAUAUCUUGUAUUUAUUGGGGGCUUCUUAUGUUCCAGGUAAUAUCUUAACAACUAUUUUUUUCUCUCAACAAUCUUAAAAUGAGUUAUUCUACUAUACCUAUUCACAGAUGAGGAAGUUAAGGUACUAAGGGUUUGGUGAUUUGCUUUGGGAUUGGUGCUGUCUGCUUCAGAAAAUAGGCAGGCAGCUUACACAGUCCACAUUUUUGCCCCUAACAAUAUCUUGGAUCACUUUAGCUUGGUAAGGGUGAGUCCUUUAUGUGAAUGCUAAAGUGAUCCAAGAUAUUGUUGUUUGUGGCAGAAGGUAAGUCUAUAGUCAAAGUGCUAAACUCUUCAGUGACUCAGAGUAAGCGGCCCAAACUAAGAUAAUAACCAGCAUGGGAGAAAGAGGUCCACUGAACCACAUGGGAUGGACUACAAUUUAUCAAAUUUAACAAAAGGAAUAAUAAUAUGGAAGAUCCGGGAGAGAGUCUGUAGAUAGAAGGGGGAUAUAAUCUCAAUGCCGGAGGAUAAGAAUAUAUAAUGAUGAGGAUGAUAAGGAUAUAUACAUAAUAUACAUAAUAUAUAUAUAUAUAUAUAUAUAUAUAUAUAUAUAUAUAUAUAUAGCAAACAUUUGAGAUACUUCCAGAAAAAAAAAAAA